GACGAACGCUGGCGGCGUGCUUAAUACAUGCAAGUCGAGCGAGGUUACUGUUUCGGAUCCCUUCGGGGUGAAGAAGCUUUAACCUAGCGGCGGACGGGUGAGUAACGCGUGGGUAACCUACCCCAAAGUCCGGGAUAACAGCGGGAAACCGCUGCUAAUACCGGAUGUCUUUACCUUGGGGCAUCUUGAGGUAAAGAAAGGUAACGCUUUGGGAUGGGCCCGCGUCCCAUUAGCUAGUUGGUGAGGUAACGGCUCACCAAGGCGACGAUGGGUAGCCGGCCUGAGAGGGUGGACGGCCACACUGGGACUGAGACACGGCCCAGACUCCUACGGGAGGCAGCAGUAGGGAAUAUUGCGCAAUGGACGGAAGUCUGACGCAGCGACGCCGCGUGAGCGAUGAAGGUCUUCGGAUCGUAAAGCUCUGUCCUUGGGGAAGAAGGUCUUCGGACUUGACGGUACCCAAGAAGAAAGCCCCGGCUAACUACGUG
rnacentral:rRNA from 1 species